rfam:Pelobacter carbinolicus DSM 2380, complete genome.
CUCCGAUAAGAGCACAGCCAGAUUCUUCUGGUGUCGCAAAGUCACGGGUUCGCUUUUAAAGAGCGGAUGGCCGGUCUGCCGAA